UUUUGAAAGAGGCUGCCGGGAGGCCCUGGCUGUUCCAGUUUUGAGAGGAGUGUGUGUUGGCAAACUCUCCUCUCGAUCCUGGCACUACCUGUGCCAUCACCACCGCUGGUUUCCCUCC
rnacentral:precursor_RNA from 13 species